rnacentral:rRNA from 1 species
UACGGAGGGUGCAAGCAUUAAUCGGAAUUACUGGGCGUAAAGCGUGCGCAGGCGGUUUGUUAAGUCUGCUGUGAAAUCCCCGAGCUCAACUUGGGAAUUGCAGUGGAUACUGGCAAGCUGGAGUACGGUAGAGGAAGGUGGAAUUCCGUGGUGUAGCAGUGAAAUGCGUAGAGAUCGGGAGGAACACCAGUGGCGAAGGCGGCCUUCUGGACCAGUACUGACGCUCAUGCACGAAAGCGUGGGGGAGCAAACAGG